rnacentral:lncRNA from 1 species
GUAAUUUGGAGGAUGACACUUCUGUCAUGGAACUUUCGGUUAUUUAUAUGUAUAAUUGAAAAAAAAAAAUUGCCUUCCUUGAUUAUGUAAUUAAGUGUUAAAUGAGGAAUCUUGUACAGCUUUUGGUCUCUUAAUAAGCUGGUUUCUUCUUUCUUGCCUUUUUAAUUGAAUUGAAGAAGGAGAUCUUCUUCUCAGCUAUGCAUCAGUUAUAGAAGCCUGGCCACAGAUGCAACUGAAAACUGAUGAACUAAAUGGAAGUUACCCUAAAUAAGGCAUUGAUCCAGAUUUUUGCAGGUUCUGCAUGGUUUCUGAGAAGUUCCAGGUGCACUGUGGAGAAGACAUUGCUUCUUUGGGAGAAAGGACAGAGAAAUGGAAACUUGAUGUGUACGCUCAUUUCCAGGGACAUUGUUUUUCUUGGUAGAAAUCAUCAAGGCACGUAUGAGUUUUAAGUUAUAUCUAAGUGUUAAUGAAGCUUAAAUAAUGUUCUUAAUCUACAAAAAUGACCAGGAGCUUCCUGAUAAGAGAUAUGCAGUGAAAUUACCUGCUCUCCAAUUUUUGAUCCUUAGAUAAAAUAGGAAACUAAGUAUGAUCUAAGCAAUACAUUAUUUCCCCCAAGACUAAAUGGAACAAAAAAGUGAUGAAAAGAAAAAUUACUUCUAAGGUUUGAGUUUUUCAUGAAUUCAUGAAAAAUUCUUUAAUUAUUUUCACAGAAAUAUUUUUCACAUUAUACAACACAAGUCAAGUUGCAAUAGCUAGUAUAAGGCACAUACCCAAAUACCUUCUCGUUUGCUGGCAUUAGAUAUUUGGCCAAGAAUAUGAGAAUAAUAAAAUGACUUUAUUUUCAAGCA